rnacentral:rRNA from 1 species
CCUACGGGUGGCAGCAGUGAGGAAUAUUGGUCAAUGGGCGGGAGCCUGAACCACCCAAGUCGCGUGAGGGAAGACGGUCCUACGGAUUGUAAACCUCUUUUGCCGGGGAGCAACGGGGUCCUUGCGAGGGCCCGAUGAGAGUACCCGGAGAAAAAGCAUCGGCUAACUCCGUGCCAGCAGCCGCGGUAAUACGGAGGAUGCGAGCGUUAUCCGGAUUUAUUGGGUUUAAAGGGUGCGUAGGCGGAUCGUUAAGUCAGUGGUCAAAUUGAGGGGCUCAACCCCUUCCCGCCAUUGAAACUGGCGCUCUUGAGUGGAAGAGAAGUAUGCGGAAUGCGUGGUGUAGCGGUGAAAUGCAUAGAUAUCACGCAGAACCCCGAUUGCGAAGGCAGCAUGCCGGCUUCCGACUGACGCUGAAGCACGAAAGCGUGGGGAUCGAACAGGAUUAGAUACCCCUGUAGUC